rnacentral:rRNA from 1 species
UACAGAGGCCUCGAGCGUUAGGCGGAAUCACUGGGCUUAAAGCGUGUGUAGGCGGACUUCUAAGUACCUUGUGAAAUCCCACAGCUUAACUGUGGAACUGCUUGGUAUACUGGUUGUCUUGAGGUACCUAGGGGCGAGCGGAACAAGUGGUGGAGCGGUGAAAUGCGUAGAUAUCGCUUGGAACGCCAGUGGUGAAAACGGGUCGCUGGGACAUGCUGACGCUGAGACACGAAAGCCAGGGAGCGAACGGG